CCCAACUAUCCCUAUUAAUCAUUACGUGGUUCUAAAACCAACAAAAUAGAACACCGUCCUAUUUUAUUAUUCCAUGCUAAUGUAUUCAAGCAAAAAUGCCCGCUUUAAACACUCUAAUUUUUUCAAAGUAAAGGUCCUAGUUCAUUGAAACACCCAAUUAAGAAGCAUCCCAAUUCACCAGAAGGUAAGAAAUUGGCUACACACCGAUUCAUGCCCCUAAAAGCACGACCAAUAUAUCCCAAAUCCCGAAAUUCAACUACGAGCUUUUUAACCGCAACAACACUAAUAUACGCUAUCGGAGCUGGAAUUACCGCGGCUGCUAAUACCAGACUUGCCCUCCAA
rnacentral:misc_RNA from 1 species